GUCCUAGCCUAACGAUCAGGACUUGGGUGCCGCACGUUCGUGCGUCGUCCCGGAGCUAACGCGUUAAGUCCUGCACCUGGGAGUACGGUCGCAAGACUGAACUCAAAGGAAUUGACGGGCCCGCACAAGCGGUGGAACAUGUGGUUCAAUUCGACGCUACGCGAGGAACCUUACCUGGGCUCGAAGCGCACUUGACUAGCUAUAGAAAUAUGGCCUUCCCGCAAGGGACAAGUGUGGAGGCGCUGCAUGGCUGUCGU
rnacentral:rRNA from 1 species